rnacentral:piRNA from 1 species
UAAACAGGCGAAUGCAAAGAUUAUGGAC